AAGGGUAGACCCCGCCUCUGACCAAGGGUAGACCCCGCCUCUGACUGCCCUUGCCCGCCCCCUUAAAUGCUGUUCCGUCCUGUGUUUUGAGUCAGUCCUCCACAACUCGACAUUGCCAGCACCUGUCGCGGGGCAGGGGGGCCUCCCCGGGCUGACCGCCGUCUGCCGCCCCUCGGGCCCGCUGCUGGAGCCCUCCUCCUCGGUUUCGCAGCACAUGGUCUCCGGGUCUCGGGCCCCCGCCCUGCCCCUGCGGGCUCCAUGCGGAAUCUCCUCCCGAGUCCUCCCGCAUCCGGGCCCGAAGCAGCUUAUCCCCGCUGGCCCCCCGCUGCGGGCACUCCCCCGCUCAGCCCCGGAGGAGGGACAGGCACGCCCCGCGGGGUCGGCGGGCCGGGACCCGGGCGGCCGAGCCAGGCACUUCGGGCUUGGAAUCUGGGUCUCUCCACUCUCACCGUCACCUCCUUGCUGACGCCGCAG
rnacentral:lncRNA from 1 species